rnacentral:rRNA from 1 species
AGCUCCAAUAGCGUAUAUUAAAGUUGUUGCAGUUAAAAAGCUCGUAGUUGGAUUUCAGGAUACACGUUGAGUCAUGUCCAAAUGGAUUUGAUUUGAAUGAUUUGUAUUCUUCUUUCUUGAAGACUUUAUAUGCUCUUAACUGGGUGUAUAUAUGGAUUCAGGACUUUUACUUUGAAAAAAUUAGAGUGUUCAAAGCAGGCAUAUUUUUUAAUAAUCGCUUGAAUACAUUAGCAUGGGAUAAUAGAAUAGGACUUUGGUUCUAUUUUGUUGGUUUUCGAGAACUGAAGUAAUGAUUAAUAGGGAUAGUUGGGGGCAUUAAUAUUUAAUAGUCAGAGGUGAAAUUCUUAGAUUUAUGAAAGAUUAACCUCUGCGAAAGCAUUUGCCAAGGAUGUUUUCAUUA